rnacentral:misc_RNA from 1 species
ACGACUUGGUUGGAUCCCUACUCGGGUAGCGACGUCCUCUCGUGCAUUCCUCUUCAAUUAUUGGCACAAGCGCAUCUUUUGCCUUGGCCGAGUUGUUGGUUUCCUGUGCUGCAUACCUACAUCGACGGAAUUUGUCGGCUAAUUUAUCUCGAGUUCUCUUACUGCUGCCCGUUUACACGGUGCGGCUUCGGGUGAACCUCAAAGCGAAAUUCGUGUUCCGACUAGCAUGCAAUUGCUACGCAAUUUGCUAUGCAGUCCCGGCCCAUGAGCGUAGCGUGACUUCGGGGAUGCAGAAAACACCGAGGGUAAGGGGUCUGCGACCUCUCUAUUUGCCCCAAAUCGGCAUUACACGUCCCAUUCGAUAGACUUUCGGCGUCGCACGGACGUUUUACGUCUUGCGGCUCGAUGUCACUGAGGAAUGCUACCUGGUUGAUCCUGCCAGUAGUCAUAUGCUUGUCUCAA